rnacentral:lncRNA from 1 species
GUCGGCCGGAACCCGCUCCUGGGCCGCGCGGCUGCAGCCGGGAGCGCGGACUCGGGGUGUCGGGCGGUGUCCGCGCCCCUCCCCACCCCAGGGCCCUUCUCGGGGGAGAUAUCCAGGAGCUGAAAGAGAUUCCUCAGGAGGAAGUGGAAACCUCUGAAAGGAGAGGAAACCGACUCUUUUGCAAGAAAACUGAGCGCCGGCUGGAAGGCCUAAGGAAAGCAGCCGAUGGCUCCCAAGACAACUCUGUCCGGCCAGUACUCCAGGGCAACUUCAACCCCACUAGGACCCAGGCCAAAACCAUAUAUAUAUAUAUAUAUAUAUAAAUUAACGCAAAACAGAGCCACUUUGGUGCCUACCCCUCCACAAGUAGGUAGGCACAUCCAGGUAGCUCUGUCAGAAGAUGGGACCUGGCGCCUUGCAGGGGUAGCCCUAUGGAGAUCCAGAAGCCCCGUUUCGAGCUACGAAGUCUCUCUUCUACUGCAGUCUUCUCUCCAACGUGGAGAUCUAGCAACUUCCCUCCCCCUGGGAUUCCCUGUGAAUCCACUCUAGUUGGGAUAUAGCCUCUCUACAGCUCAGUGACGUAGCGCGCCAAAACCAAGUACCCACCCCGGCAACUGGAAGACCUAGCUGUCCUCCAUCCCGCCUCCGCAGUCGAUAAUCUCCAGGAUCCAAGCAAAGUGCCUGUCCACGUUGUCACCAGAUCCACAAGCGCUUUUGAUGAGAGCUGCUACCCUUUUGGAAACACGAUUCCCUCUCCCUAGUAGAGAAGAAUCUAUUCUUCUGGGCUGGCGUAGACAAAGAAUAACCAAGAUAAAGUAUGUGGUGUGAAAAUAUCAGCUGCCUCUUCUUUUUUUGUUUUUGAAACGGAGUCUCGCUCUGUCUCCUAGGGUGGAGUGCAGUGGCACUAUCUCUGCUCACUGCAACUUCCGCCUCCUGGAUUCAAGCGAUUCUCCUACCUCAGCCUCUGGAGUAGCUGGGACUAUAGGCGCCCGCCACCACGCCCGGCUAAUUUUUUGUAUAUUUAGUAGAGACGGGGUGGGGGGGUGUUUCACCAUGUUGGCCAGGCUGGUCACGAACUCCUGACCUCAAAUGAUCGGCCCACCUCGACCUCCCAAAGUGCUGGGAUUACAGGCGUGAGCCACCGCGCGCCGGGUGGAAAACAUUAGCUUCUAAUAGCAGUCUUGGAGUGGAGUGAAGACGUUCAGGAAGUGGUGGAGAUAGGCCUGCUCAAUUAACCGGCCCCAGAUAUCAUUUCUCUGGCUACCUCUUUUCUCGCCUGGCCUGGCCCUCUAUACCGUUUUUUGUUUGUUUGUUUUGUUUUGUUUUUUUUCUGCAAAACGUUUUCUGCUGCAACUUUCUCUUUAUUUAUGCCUUUAUCUUUCUUAAACAAGAGGUCCCUGGAAAUAACUAACUAAGGAGGGGAGAGGAACCCCCUCACCCCCAAUUUCAUGAAUGAGUGCUACAUUCAUGCUGGCCGGGUACCAAGAGCAUCUUUAGAUCUUUAGACCUGAGUCUUCUCAUCUGUGAAAAAGAGGUUAAAGCAGAUGAACCCUAAAGGCCCAUUUCCAGUCUUAAAUUCAACACUUUCAAGACAAAACUUUUCUUCUGUAUUCCUGAGUGUGUAUAUAUAUGUUAUGUAAUAUAUAUUAUAAUGUAUAUAUAUAAACUUGGCUUAGUAAUGUUCUGUGCUGAGAUGCAGAUGAGGAGGACAUUUUAAACUUCUAAGGGUGCCCUCCCUCUGGUUGUUUCCUCCCAGACGAGCAUUCUUUGUGGAACAGAAAGAGAUCCUCAGGGUGGAAAGCACCAGAGGCAGGUCUCCUGAAUACGGUGCUGUCCAAGUCUACUCAUGGUCACAUGAUUCAUUAGGACUGUAAAUCCUCAUCAGAACACAAGCAUCAGACUCUCUGACCCUGCCAAUUCAAGUACUAAUGGUAAAAUCGUCCAAGAGGCUGGCCAACAUAUGCACACAUUAAUUAGAGUUAUGUGGGCCUUUGGCUUCCAGUCUGAUGAACAGCUCCAGGGAUGCAGGGGGCAGAGGGUUUGGGGUCCUUUUCACCCAGCAGAUGCCCUUUGGUCCUGAGAGGGCAUUAGUCCAAUACAGUGGGUGAUCUGAAAGCUAACCCCUUUCAGAGGAUGGCUUAACCUCAGCAACUAGGCUAAAACCUAGCAGUGGGUCCCUAAGAGGGACAGGGGAAAAAAAUCUGUUCAGAGGAAAUGAGAAUCAGCAGUAAGCUUUUGUUGUUAUUACUUCAUCUUGUAUUAUUAUGAGACAGGAGUGGGGAGAAGCCCAAGGUGAAAGAAGAGAAAUUUUUGGUAUGCAUGGAAGACGUGGAUACUUAGCAACCCUCUCCCCUGGCACUCAAGUGCACACGCAGAGAAAGUAAUUGCUAUAUUCCAUCUAGAAGCUGAAAAUGCUUUCAACACCAUUUACAAGGAUAAGGGAAGGAGCAGCUGAGGGGAGCAUGGGUUUGAUUCAACUUAACUGCAAUUCUGGCCAGGUACCACAAGUCACAGAGCAUCCCAGAGAGC